rnacentral:RNase_P_RNA from 4 species
AGAACAGAUUGGAUUAUCGCGCGGCCAUUCCUUCUGGAGUGGAGUGAGGAAAGUCCGGACACUCGCUAAUUUCGGUUAGCAGCAAGUAAUGGGUAAUUCCCAUACGCCGUGAGGCGCGAGGUGCGAACAGAGAUGUUUCCUUUCGAAAGGAAGGAGAGGACCUGCAAAGGUUCAGUCCUUACGGUAACGUAGGGGGUGCAACAGCUAAAUCCUUACUUGAGUGCAAGGUCGUGUCCCGAGCAAUCGGGGAGAACCGCAAAGAUUCGUGUGGUAACAUACGAACAAGAGAAAUGAUGAUCACCUUUCGCAAGAGAGGCACAGGAUCCGGCUUAUAGGUCUGUUUUGAAA